UUGUUCUCACUUAAUACAUGAGAAAAUGCAAUAUUUGGCUGUUUUUGCGUUAAUUCACGUAGGAUAAUGACCUUCAGCUGCAUCUGUGUUGCUGCAAAGGACAUGAUUUUGUUCUUUUUUAUGACUGCCUAGUACUUUGUGGUGUAUAUGCACCACAUUUUCUUUAUUUAAUGAACCGUUGGUGGAUACUUACCUUGGUUCCAUGACCUUGCUGUUAAGUUGAACUAAUUGACACCUACCACCGCUUGCUGGAGGUUGAGGACGCCCAGUGAGUGUGCACCCGGGCUGGAGAAGGGAGGAGGUAUGGCCCGGAAAAGAGACACAGAAAGGUAAUCCAAGAGGGCUUUCUGGAGGAGGUGGCAGCUGAGCCUAGAGGUGAAUUUCAUUGGGGAAGAGGGAGUGAGGCCUAGGCAGCUUAGGCCAUGACCCCCAUGGUGGGAGACGGCUGCAUAAGGGUCUCUCUCCUGGCAUCCAUCUUUACCCAUGCCUGGGCAUCCUACCCCCAUCACCCUUUAACCCCCGAGGGCCUUGGCUGGGUCCCAGAAAUUCCCAGGAGGGUGCUCAGAGAAGACCACGGGGACUCUCAUCACCCCCACCCUGGCUCACUUCCAAAAAGGCUGCAAGAAGGGUGUUGGAGGGUCUCCUGGAGGCUGCCAAGGGCAUUUUCUCAUGGAGCCCACGUCUCUCCCCGAUCGUGGUGGCUGUGAUCGGUAAUUCCAGCUUCAUACUGGCUACAGGUGGAUGAUGCCCACCUGGCUGCUGAUGACUUCUGCACCAAGUGAGGCUGGGUCUCUGGAGCUGCCCCAGGGGCUGGACAAGCUGACCCUGCCUGGAGCCAACCUGGAGAUGCAGCCUGAGAACCUCAAGGAGGACCUGGUCUACCUGAAGAAGAACCAUGAGGAGGAAAUGAACGCCCUUUGAGGUCAGGUGGACGAGGAUGUCAGUGUGAAGAUGGACACUGUGCCUGGAGUGAACCUGAGCUGCAUCCUGAAUGAGAUGCGUGACCAGGACAAGAAACUGGUGGAGAAGAGCUGCAAGGAUGCCCAGGGCUGGUUCUUCAGCGUGGUGGGUGGCCGUGUGUAAGCAGGUGUGCACACGUGUGGGCACAUACGCCGUGUGCUGGUGCAGUUGGAACACCGGCAGAUUCACAGGCUGUCCCAGUUGGAAGGACUUUUGGAAACCAGUCGGACCAGCCCUUCAUGUCUUCGAUGUAAAAUGUGAGGCUCAGAGAGGACUCAAGCUCACACAGCCCUUCACUGUGGCCUGCAAAAUAGAUCCAGUUCUCUGCAAGUCUGGUCUUGGGUUUCCACCACAGCUGUUUACAGGAUGUGUGUAUUUGAGUACAUACACAUACCCUUGGCAAGCACAGGCUGAGUGUGUCCGGUGUCCUAGGGACAGCAACAGGUGCAAAAGAAUAACACCCAGUGCCUGUCUUUGAGGUGCUGUAGUUCGGUAGGAGUAAGAAAUGCAAACGACCGCAGAGUAGGCUGAAUUCCUCCAAGGUCCAACGUGGGUGCAGAGGGUCUUUGUGUGCAGGUGCCUUUGGGGCCCCAUAGAGGCCAGGGAGGGUUUAGGGGAUGGUUCUGGGAGGCGAGGGCUCAGGAACAGCCCCUUUCCUGUGCCCCACUUGUGAAAGUCUCCAUAAACCCCUGUGGCCCACUCUGCCUUCCAGAGAGAGAGGCUGAACUGCGAGGUGGCCACCAACACAGAGGCCCUGCAGAGCGGCAGGAUGGAGAUAUGGAGCUCUACAUCUCUGUGCAGAACCUGAGCCGUCCCAGCUCAGCAAGAAAGCAUCGCUGGAGGGCAGCCUGGUGGAGACGGAGGUGUGUUACAGGACCCAGCUGGCCCAGCUGCAGGGGCUCAUCAGAAGCAUGGAACAGCAGCUGUGCGAGCUCUGCUGUGAUGCAGAGCACCAGGACCACGAGCACCAGGUCCUUCUGGACGUGAAGACGCGGCUGGAGCAGGAGAUCGCCACCUACAGCCGCUUGCUAGAGGUUGAGGACGCCCGGUGAGUGUGCACCCAGGAGGUGAAACUGACGAUGCAGGCUGGAGUCUGACUGAGGAGCCUUGACUGCCAAGUUAAAGCGUCUGGACUAGAUCACGGGAACCUCCUCUGCCAGGGCCUGCUUCUCCCCAGCAGUGCUUACAGGGGCCUGGGCUGGCUGGCAUCCCUGGGUCGAUGGGUGCUCCUCUCCCUGCAGGCUGGCCACUCAGUACUCCUUGUCCCUGGCCUCGCAGCCCACCCGGGAAGCCACGGUGACCAGCCACCAGGUGUGCCAUCGUGGAGGAAGUCCAGGUUGGAGAGGUGGUCUUCUGUAAGCAGGUCCAUCUCUCCACCCACUGAGGCCCCUUUCUGCCUGUGACAGCCCCACCUCGAGGGUCACGGCACAGCCAUCAGCUCCAGCUCCCAGCAUGCUACUGCCACGCCCCGAGUGUCCGUCUGGGCACUGGUCCAUGACCUGUUGUCUUUCUGUAUCUACUUUCUGCAGCCCCUCACUGAGGAGGCCUCCUGGGUUUGUCCAGUGCCUGCUAUUAAAGCUUUGCUCCAAGUUCAA
ensembl:lncRNA novel transcript